UAAAGGGUAAAAAUAAAAACGGUUUUGGUGGGUAAAAGGGUUUUAAGGUAAAGAAGUGAAAGGUUUAGGCUCAAAGGGAUUAACUAGGGGGAGUUUUUGGGUAGGUGAAAAGAAAAAUGAAAAUAAUGGUUUUGAAAGAAAAAAGGGUUAGUCCUAAUGCCUCCAUCAUUUACUUACUUGGGUUUAAGUUGGUAAGGCCCGGGAAUGAAUCGUCGUGGCAAGUUCUAGAGUCGUAAGAACCAAGCGGCUAUUCACACAAGAAACGAAAAAUGAGCAUUUAGUCUAAAGAUGUGUAUUUGUAUGCUCAAUAAAGGCUCAAAACUCACUUUUUGUGGGAAUGGGUUUUUCUAUGUGAUCAAUUGUUUUUAUCACGACGCUAUCGGUUGUAAACUUGUAAAAAUAUAACCUUUUUAGAACUUGUUAUUCCCAAAUUAAACCAAGACAAGUAAAAAAAAUGAAAAGUUUUUGAAAAAAUUUGGGGUGAUUAGCGGUUCCAAUAGAGUUUUGUGUAAGGCUUGUUAUUAGGACUUACAAAAUUUCAAGGUUUAAGCAUCCCCCCCCACUUAAAUUACACAUUGUCCUCAAUGUGUCCCAAAAAUAAAUUUUUAGGUUGAUUGAAUGUGUAACAUGGUGUUUAAAAGCAAAAAUUAAUGUUACUGGCAGUAUGGACACGACCCCGUGUCCAUUGGACACAACCCCGUGGUGAACUGCCAGUAAUGAAAACUUACAGAAGGUGGCCACGGGGGCGUGUUGGCUAGACACGGCCCCGUGUCUGGAAAAAAUCUACAGGAAAGUAACCAAAAAGCAGGUCUGUGAGGUGAGCACGGGGGCGUGUCGGCUGAACACGUCCCCGUGUGGACAGUCUGUAAGCCUGAAAAAUAGGUUCCAGCCUCCGGUUUUUCCAUCCUGGCUUUAUGAGUGCUAAGGCUUAGCACUCUAAGCCUCGGUUUGUACCUGUUUCAUCACUAAAUACCACACCAAGCAACACAAACAUCCUACAUUACCAUAGUUAAUUGUUCC
rnacentral:lncRNA from 1 species